GAUCCCUGGCUCAGGAUGAACGCUGGCGGCGUGCCUAAUACAUGCAAGUCGAGCGAAUGGAUUAAGAGCUUGCUCUUAUGAAGUUAGCGGCGGACGGGUGAGUAACACGUGGGUAACCUGCCCAUAAGACUGGGAUAACUCCGGGAAACCGGGGCUAAUACCGGAUAACAUUUUGCACCGCAUGGUGCGAAAUUCAAAGGCGGCUUCGGCUGUCACUUAUGGAUGGACCCGCGUCGCAUUAGCUAGUUGGUGAGGUAACGGCUCACCAAGGCAACGAUGCGUAGCCGACCUGAGAGGGUGAUCGGCCACACUGGGACUGAGACACGGCCCAGACUCCUACGGGAGGCAGCAGUAGGGAAUCUUCCGCAAUGGACGAAAGUCUGACGGAGCAACGCCGCGUGAGUGAUGAAGGCUUUCGGGUCGUAAAACUCUGUUGUUAGGGAAGAACAAGUGCUAGUUGAAUAAGCUGGCACCUUGACGGUACCUAACCAGAAAGCCACGG
rnacentral:rRNA from 1 species